AUAAUUUGGUGUUUCUCGAUUGUAGGCUGACAUUGGUCUCGAGACGCGCCUCAGAAUCGUUUUUUGGGCGUUUCGCCUCGAGACGCGCCUUGAGGCGCAUGCCUAACGUUUUUUAAAACCAUGAUUCAGAGUCAUUGAUAAUAUAUAAACUGUUUCUGUUGUUAAUAUUUCUUUUUGUGUUGUUUUGCAGUCAACUUGUGUGCGUAGACCGAAAUAUAUAAUGUGCACAGGUGGUGAUCCUUCUGGAUACAUCCCUACAUAUACCACUCAUAACACAACAUCCAGUGAAUCUAUGGCUGGGAGUAUGUGGACAAACUUGUCUUCAUGGAUGCCACGUAGAGAGGUGCUUCCGCAGUCAACAGAAGAAAAUAGCAGAUUCCCUGGGCGUGGAAGGGCACUUAGUGCACCUCAAACCGAAAUGGGCCCCACCAAUGGUAAUGACUCGAGUCUACAGGCUAGACUUUUAGAAAGUGGCAACAGCCCGGUUCACCCAUUGAAAUCUCGUUUGAAGGUCGCCAGAGCACCUGGAUGGCAGCAAGGCGUGUUAGCGUCUUGCCUGAGGGCCUAGGCACGUGCCCGAAGGGCUUUCGACAACAUAGGGUCACGGACGCCCAGGGGCGGCCAGACGGAGACAUCAGUAAUGUAGAUAGGAAUCGGAGAUAGAGAGAAGUGGGGUCCGCCAUCCGUGAUGUCAGCCAAUGUGGAAAGAGAGAACUAUUCGUGAGGUCACGAGAGUGCAGAUGCCUUUAUGUCUACGGUUUGGCUAUGCAUAUGCCUUUGUCUCAUUGUAGCUAUGAUUCAUUGUUAUUAGAUUAGAACAUUUGUCAAGUUUCUAUUGAGUUGUCACGCUUUGACUAUUCAUGGUCAAUGCUUAAUGUUAGGCUGGCGAUGCUCUCAUACAACUAUAUAACAAUUUCAUAACCGACUUCGAGACUAAGAUCAACCUUCUAAAGCUAGCACACUUUGCUGUUAUAGUCUCUCGCCAAUACUCCGAAAAAGACGCUGCAAUCAGUUAUCUCAAUGGGGUGAUUGAAAAGCUCAAAGCUACAAAACACUUUGCUGUUAUAGCACACUAGCCAUUUUUACAUGGUGAACUCGGUAACCCGGGCGAUCAAAUGGCUGCGCUAUGGUCAACUCGGUAACCCGGACGGUUAACAAGCACCUUUCCUCAAAGUCCCACCAAGUUUUUUCAAACUUUGCUAUAUCCCUUAGUGUAACCGUAUUAACUUGUACAUCAUGUUUUAAAUGUGGUGUAUUUGUUUGAAUGACAAAUCUUUUGUUUUAUUGUAA